UUUGCAGGCCAACGCCAUUGUUUACAUGCCAGUUUGAAUGUUCCCAGGAAAGCUCAGAUGUGGAUUGGUGUCUCCCAAAGUCCAUUGUCUGUCAAGUGUUUCUUGAUAGGACUAUUCUAAUUGCCCAUUCUCAAGAAGCUGACCAAAUGCUUCACUGAUGUUACUUAGAAUCAAACACAUUGAGAUACAAGUACAUAGCCAAUAUUCAUAACUUCAAAUACAAAAAUGAUACACACAUACAGACAGCAUAAUCAUAACCAACAAAUUACAACCUUUCCGUAGACCCCUUAUUUGACCUCCUUUGUACAAGAUUUGGUGCAGCUAUAGGACCUUGGUUACAACAAGGAUCUAUACAGUCACGGUUCAUAGAGAAGGUCUCCUUCAC